rnacentral:rRNA from 1 species
GGUGACUAUUAGUUUAACGGCCGCGGUAUUAUGACCGUGCGAAGGUAGCGCAAUCACUUGUCUUUUAAAUGGAGACCUGUAUGAAAGGCAUCACGAGGGCUUAGCUGUCUCCCCUUUAAAGUCAAUGAAAUUGAUCUCCCCGUGCAGAAGCGGGGAUAAGCUCGUAAGACGAGAAGACCCUAUGGAGCUUUAGAUACAAGGCGGCCCAUGUCAAGCACCCGCUAGCGGAAAUGAACAGAAUGAGCCCCGCCAGAG